rnacentral:lncRNA from 1 species
CUAUAAAAUCGAAUGCUGUAUUAGAAACUAAAUGUACCAUCUUUUAAUUGAUAAUUCAAAUUGCAAACUAUUUUUGAUCAAAACAGGAAUUUUCAAACAUCUGCGUGUUUGUUAUAUUUGCCAUGUGUUUACUUAAACGACUAGUAAAGAAAAAAAGCAGACCUACUAGAUUUAAAUUAAAGAUCUAGUGUGUUUCUCACUCUUGACGAUUGACCAAAUGACUCAGAAAUUUACAAAUUUAUGUCACCUUCCGGCAUUCUAAAAUAACAAAAGCCCAUAACACAUAGUCAGAGCGCCCUAUAUAAUUGUUCUAAGAUACAACUAUAAAUAUAUAAAUGUGAAUAUAUAUUUGAGUCUUGUUGGUUUGAGAUGAUGAUGCAUACUUUUAUUUUUUUAAGUUCGAUAAUAUGUAAAUGACGCUAUUCUAAAAGAAUCGUUUUAUUUCUUAAGAACACUAACAAAUGUAAUAAGAAUAUAAUCAUUUAACACAAUACAGUUUUAAAAAGACCAAGGACAGUUUUCAUAUUUAUUGUCUCUCUGUUUGUCUAUUUGAAUUACACCAUCAACGUAGCCAUGGUAGAAUAUUAUUUAGAUUUUUUUAUAUCAGGAUAACAUUUUGUUCAAUUGUUUUAGGUUAUUAAGUAUUAAUAUUUGUAUCAUUCGUAGCAUCACAUUUAAAUGUUUGAGGUAUUUUGCUGAUAGUAUUGAGGCAUAUUGAGUUACCAUGGCGACAACCUUCUACUAGGAUGAUAUUAAAGUUAUAUUUAAGUACAAUUAACAAUUUGUACAGUUAUAGGUGAAUUGUACACGGUUUAUAUUUUUCUGUUCGUGAACAAAUGGAUAUUGUCUACCUUGUAAACUUUGUAAGCUUAAACAUCAGAAGCGUAGCCGUGAUAUAAGUGCUAUGUUAAAUACCGAAAAAUGUCAAAUGAGCAAAAUAGAAAUAUAUUCAGGACGCAAUUAUACAUGAUUUGUCCAUAAUGAGGGAGAAAUGAGGGGAUUAAUUUUCAGUUUGAAUUAUUUUUAUCGAACCUACUUUCUGAGGAUUUCGGCAAAAAUGAUAUUUAAAACAUGAUUAUUUCAUCCUUUAAUUUCGUAAAUGAUUAACUGUUCGUGAUAUUAAAUAGAUUAAGUCAACAUAUAAGUAUACGUCCGUUAAAGGAAGUUUACAAGAAAUCCUCUACUUUGAAUUCAAGACGUUAAAAGGCAUAAAGAAUAUCAAGUGUAUAUAAUUAUUAUAAAUAAUCUACAACUGAUACAUAAAGAUCAAUUUUACCAAAAAGGACAAAAGUACGAGUAAAAUACCUCAUACUUUGCAAUAUCUGUAAUAGUGUUUAUUUAUGUACUACAUGUAAUUAUCAUCAUUAAAGCUUUGCUGUA